UAGGGAAUCUUCCACAAUGGGCGCAAGCCUGAUGGAGCAACACCGCGUGAGUGAAGAAGGGUUUCGGCUCGUAAAGCUCUGUUGUUAAAGAAGAACACGUAUGAGAGUAACUGUUCAUACGUUGACGGUAUUUAACCAGAAAGUCACGGCUAACUACGUGCAA
rnacentral:rRNA from 1 species